UUAGAGUUAGGGUUAGUGUUUGGGUUAGCGUCAGUGAAUACUUGAAAUAACUAAAUGAGAAUUAUUUGAAUACUUAACACGAAAUUUUAUUUUAAAAUUUGAAUAUUUACAAGCGUUUAUUCUAGGGGACAAUCAGAAUUUUAAAAUGAGAAUAAUUACAAUAAAGACCUGAAAAUUUAAGUUUCACACCCGAAUAUCCCCCAGCCCUGUUUCAAGCCCUGACGGGGCGGAUCCCCAGCCCGCUCCCGCCCGCUCCCGGCCUGAAGAACGGGAACAGAUUCCCGUUUGGGCUUUCCAGGGCCGCCGAUCCCAGCAGCCGCCGCUCCUCGGCGUCGAAGAAGCGGAGGCGGCGCCGCUCGAGAUCCAGCAGCACCCCGAGCACGCGGCAGCGCCCCGGGCUGCGCUGCAGGAGCGCGCCCCGGAGCCGGAGCUCGCCCCGGGAGCGCGCCAGGGACGGGCAGCGGUGGGAACCUGGGGUGGGGUCCGGGAUGGAGGGGAGGGGGUGGUAGCGGUGGGAAUUCGGGGUGGGGUCCGGGAUGGAGGGGAUGGGGUGAUCCUGGUGGGAAUUCAGGGUGGGAUUUGGGAUGGAGGGGAUGGGAUGGUACCGGUGGGAAUUCGGGGUAGGAUCCAAGAUGGGGUCCGGGAUGGGAUUCAGGAUGGAAUUUGGGAUGGGAUCCUGAAUGGAAUCUUGCAGGGAAUCAGGGAUGGAAUUCGGGAUGGGAUCCAGGGAAUUCGGGAUGGGAUCCCGGAUGGGGUCCAGGAUGGAAUUUUGGAUGGGAUCCUGCAGGGAAUUGGGGACGGGAUCUGGGAUCGAUUUCGGGAUGGAAUUUGGAAUGGAAUUCGGGAUGGGAUCCGGGAUGGGAUUUGGGGUGGAAUUCCGCAGGGGAUCCUGCAGAGAACCCGGGAUGGGAUCCCGAAUGGAAUCUCGCAGGGAAUCAUCCCUCAGGGAAUCAUCCUGCAGGGAAUCCGGGAUGGAAUCCAGGGUGGAAUCUGGGGUGGGAUCCUGCAGGGAAUCCCUCAGGGAAUCCCUCAGGGAAUCCCGGAUGGAAUCCCGGAUGGAAUCCCGGAUGGAAUCCCGGACCUCCUGCGGGAGCACGCCCAGCUCCCAAUCGCUGCCGUCUCCCAGCUCCACUUCCCAGUAAUGCUUCCCGUGGGAAAAUCCCUCCCGAGUCACGGCCAGGGCCCCGAGGCGGGGCCGGGAUCCGGGAUCGGAGCCAGGGAUUUGGGAUCUGGGAUCGGAGCCAGGGAUUUGGGAUCCGGGAUCGGAGCCAGGGAUUUGGGAUCCGGGAUCGGGGCCGGGGAUUUGGGAUCCGGGACUGGGGCUGAGGAUUUGGGAUCCGGGGAUUUGGGAUCCGGGAUCGGGGCCGGGGAUUUGGGAUCCGGGAUCGGGGCCGGGGAUUCGGGAUCCGGGAUUGGGGCAGAUCCAGGAUCGGCCCCGGAUCAGCAGGGCCGGGUGGGUGCAGCUCUCGUCCAGCGUCAGCGAGACUGGGAAAGAGUGGGGGGAGCGUUUGAUAGGGGUUUGAUAGCGUUUGAUAGGGUGUGAUGGGGUUUCUGAUAGGGUUUGAUAGAGUGUGAUGGGAUUUUGAUAGGGUUAGAUAGCGCUUGAUAAGGUUUGAUAGGGUUUGAUAGGGUUAUGAUAGCGUUUGAUAGGGUGUGAUACAGUUUGAUAGGAUUUGAUAGGGUUUUGAUAGUGUUUGAUAAGGUGUGAUAGGGUUUGAUAGGGUUUGGUAGGUUUUUGAUGGAGUUUGAUGGGGUUUGAUAGCUUUUGAUAGGGUUUGAUAGAGUUUGAUAGGAUUUGAUUGGGUUUGGCAGGUUUUUGAUAGGGUUUGAUAGGGUUUGAUAGG
rnacentral:lncRNA from 1 species